rnacentral:misc_RNA from 1 species
UGCUGCUUCCUUCAGCAGUUGCUGUAGGAUACGCCUCGCCGAACUUGCCCCUCGUCACCGGGCAACUCUUCGGCCUCUAUUACUCCUACCCCUCCCCCAAAACCCACCCCGACUCACUUUUCAUACACACAAAGGCAGCAAGGGAUAUGCGCACACCGAUAUACGCAUCCAUAGACAGAAUCGCGAUCAUCUCCAACACCUGCUGCCGAUAAGCUCCACUGCAUCACCGCCUGCACCUUCAGCAUCGAAGUCCUUUUCCUGUGCAGGAGCGUUGUUGCUGUUGUCGGGCGCAGCUCGCGUUCCGUCCACCACGCUUCCUUCUUUCCGUUCACAGCGCCUUCUCCGCCCGCAUAAACAGCGCACUGCACAGUCCUGCGGUCAUACGCGCCCGAGUUGGAAGUCCCUCCUCUCGCUCUGCCUUCCCCCGCUCUCUGCUUGUCGUCGCGCUUCUCUACGUAAUCAGGUGACGGCGGCUCGCGUGGACAGAGGAGAUUCGGUUUUGUAUACUGAUCGUGUGUCUCUGUGUAUGUGUGCGUGUGCACGAGAGCACCAGCGUACACACGGAACGAGCAGGCCGGACGUACGAAGUUUGACGCAACGGAAGCCGACGAAACCGAAAACCAAGGUGAUAAGGACGACAAACGGACCGACGCCUGCGCCUGGGACAAGAACGUUUUGAUUUUCUAGGCGUGCCAGCACUGCGCAAGAUCGAUCGUUGUGCCGAACACUACGCGUGUGCGCCUGCGUGCGCACGUGCGCAGUGCGUUGUUCUGCUUUACUUUUUUCCUGUGCGUUCUUGUCUUACUCGCACCGCUCUCUCAAUGUUCUGCGCCUAUACAGCCGCACCAAACCACGCAUAUCACCCACUAACCGACAAGCCCGAUCGCUGACCCGGUCCCUCCCUCCGAUUUACCGUCCUGCGUCGCACUUUUCGACUUGCUUCUGCUGUUGCUGGCGUUGUUGUCCUUCCACUGUCGCAGCUGCUUGCGUCGUGCAUCUUUUCGCUCGGGCGCUCGCUGCAGCGUCCUCGGUUUUCGUUGUCUUCCCCUUGCACCGCUUUUCGUUGGCUUCAUUGUGCCGCUCACUUGUGCAGCCGCACGGGCACUGCCGUUGCGUGUGCAUUGGUCGUCUUCUUAGCCGGCGCCGGUGGUGAGGGGACCACGGACUGGAUCUGUGUGGGCGUCCGCGUGCUGCAGCUCGGCUUGUGUGCGACACACUCCCGCCUGGUGCCGAACUCCCCCGACUCUCUUCCUUUUGUUCGUGUCUCGUACACGUCGAGGUGCGUCUCACGCCCUCGGCUCUGUCUCUCUAUCUGCCUGGUGCAG